ACCUGGUCUCAACCUCAGCCCAGCCCAAAACUUCAGCCCCACUAACCGUUCAAGCUAUCCCACUCCCACUCUGCUUUAUUUUCUCUAUGUCUAUCUCUUCGUAUGCUCUCUGUUCCUCUCCAUCUUCCAACCCACCCAUCUUCUCCUUUCCUCCACGGUAUCCCCAAUCCCAAUCUUUAUCUUCUUCUCUAAUCUUCUCCAAUCCCCUACUAAUCCCAGGUUGGUUCUAAGUUUAAUUCUUGAUUCAUUCUUUGUACAUGAAGCUCACCAGAACAAUGGCAUUCAAAUCAGCUAUAGUGCAACCGAAAAACCCACCACACUUCAACCCCACAUUUUCUUGCUGCCUGAAACCAUCCUUUCAGUUCAGGGAGAAUCCACUGAAGGAUUUUGAAUUCAAUAUCAAAAGAAGAAUUGGGGCAAUAGCAGCAGUAAGUUGGGCACUAAUGGCGGCGAAAGAAGCAAUUUUUGUUGAAGCUGCAAAUGGAUUUGACUUGCAACUGGUAGCACCUGGUCAGACAAUUGAAGAGGCACGGAGUGGAAUCAAAGGGCAUGCACAAGCUCUGUUACAAGUGAAAGAGCUGAUAGAUUUAGAGUCAUGGAGAGAAGUACAAAUAGCUCUCAGGAAGAGCUCAUCGGUCUUGAAACAGGACAUAUAUACCCUAAUUCAAGCAAAACCUGCAAAUGAGAGGCCUCAACUGAGAAAACUUUAUUCUGACCUCUUCAACAAUGUGACCAGACUUGAUUAUGCAGCUAGGGAUAAAGAUGCAUCAUAUAUCCGACAAUGCUAUGAGAACAUUGUUGCCGUUCUGAAUCAAAUGCUAUCUAGAAUAUAAAGUAUCAACUCAAGAAUUCAAUCUUGCCUGGGGAUUCAAAGCAGAGCUGACAAGGCUCAGUGAAUCUUUGAACAUGAUUCAAGAUAUCUUAAGUGAUGCUGUCGAGCAACCGCAAGGUCGGGGCAAGGCGGUAGAGGAGUGGGUGAAGAAACUUAAACAGAUAGCUUAUGAUGCUGAUGAUGUGUUGGAUGAGUUCAAAUAUGAAGAUCUUCGGAGUAAAGUAGGGCUCCGAAACCAAAUCCACAUAAAGCUCUGUGAGAAUGCGAAGGUAAAAAGUCCCACAUUAGAAAGUUGAGAAACCUAGCAAGGGCUUAUAAGGAGUUGAGCUACUUCUCCCAUUGCCAAUUGGUUUUGGGGUGAAACCCCUUUGUUCCCUUUUCCAUCUGGCUGAACUGAAGAUGAUGCCUUCAAUUGUGGUGUCUCAACUGGAACACCAAGCUCAGCAAGCUCGCUUUAGCUGUAGGUUUGGGGGACGACGGUAACUCCAUGGUUCAGAUGACCUUAGGUCCAAUAUAUUUUCAAGGUUAGCUAGAAUAUCUGGUGAAGCACUAGCAGUAGCUUGUGAUGAUACCGUAAAUAUAUAGUCAAGGUUGCGUACGGCAAUGUCCUGCAAUAACAAACACAGCUUCAAUAAUUAAAUAAUUAAGUAGCAUGUAAACUACAAAUCUGCAAGAACUUGGAUCACAAGUCCCAUAAACAGAAGCAUGAGACAAUAUUCAAGACAAUAACCUGCCCUCCACUAUACUUUUAUCUUCCAAAAGAAGAUAAAGCAGACUGUAUUGGAGAUAUUGAUAACUAAGCCACAAAAA